rnacentral:sRNA from 1 species
CAGGGCGCCAGCCCAGGCCUGAGGAAGCAGCGGAAUUCCAGGCAGAGUUUGUGUCUACCCCUGAGCUGGCUGCCCAAUCUGAUUUCAUCGUCGUGGCCUGCUCCUUAACACCUGCAACCGAGGGACUCUGCAACAAGGACUUCUUCCAGAAGAUGAAGGAAACAGCUGUGUUCAUCAACAUCAGCAGGGGCGACGUCGUAAACCAGGACGACCUGUACCAGGCCUUGGCCAGUGGUAAGAUUGCAGCUGCUGGACUGGAUGUGACAAGCCCAGAACCACUGCCUACAAACCACCCUCUCCUGACCCUGAAGAACUGUGCCGGGUAUGGUGGUGCAUGCCUAUAGUCCCAGCUGUUUGGGAGGCUGAGGCAGAAGAAUCGCUUGAACCCAGGAGGCACAGGUUGCAGUAGGCCGAGAUUGUGCCACUGCACUCCAGCCUGGGUGGCAGAGUGAGACUCCAUCUCCAAAACAACAACAACAACGUGGGCUGACUACAUGUCUCCAUGUGUUACACCACAGUGACUCGUGUGUAAAACCUGUUACUAUAAAUUGCUAUUACCAGUUUAGCUGUGAAAAAUUAAAAUUGUAAUGACAAUG